CCUACGGGAGGCAGCAGUGGGGAAUAUUGCACAAUGGGCGCAAGCCUGAUGCAGCCAUGCCGCGUGUAUGAAGAAGGCCUUAGGGUUGUAAAGUACUUUCAGCAGGGAGGAAAGAAAUAAAACUAAUAAUUUUAUUUUGUGACGUUACCUGAAGAAGAAGCACCGGCUAACUCCGUGCCAGCAGCCGCGGUAAU
rnacentral:rRNA from 1 species